rnacentral:ncRNA from 2 species
UGAUAAUAAGGCGAUGGAGUUCGCCCAACUGCUACGUUGUAGCUGAUAACUCCUAUUGAAGC